UGGCUCAGAACGAACGCUGGUAGCGUGGAUUAGGCAUGCAAGUCGAACGGGAUCCGGGAGGUAGCAAUACUUCCUGGUGAGAGUGGCGGAUUGGGGAGGAACACGUGAGCAACCUGCCUUUGAGUCGGGGAAAACCGUUGGAAACGACGGCUAAUACCGGAUGUGGCGCCCGGUGACAUCACCGGAGCGCUAAAGGGGGCCGCAAGGCUCUCGCUCGUAGAGGGGCUCGCGCACCAUCAGCUUGUUGGCGGGUAACGGCCCACCAAGGCCUACGGUUAGCUGGUCUGAGAGGAUGACCAGCCCCACUGGGACUGAGAUACUGCCCAGACUCCUACGGGAGGCUGCAGUCGAGGAUCAUUUGCAAUGGGCGAAAGCCUGACAAUGCGACGCUGCGUGGAGGAAUGAAGGCCUUCGGGUUGUAAACUCCUGUCAUGGGGGAACAGGCGAGGAUACCUAAUACGUAUCUUAGUUGAGUGUACCCCAAGAGGAAUUGGCGGCUAACUCUGUGCCAGCCGCGGC
rnacentral:rRNA from 1 species